GAUGAACGCUGGCGGCGUGCCUAAUACAUGCAAGUCGAGCGAACGGACGAGAAGCUUGCUUCUCUGAUGUUAGCGGCGGACGGGUGAGUAACACGUGGAUAACCUACCUAUAAGACUGGGAUAACUUCGGGAAACCGGAGCUAAUACCGGAUAAUAUUUUGAACCGCAUGGUUCAAAAGUGAAAGACGGUCUUGCUGUCACUUAUAGAUGGAUCCGCGCUGCAUUAGCUAGUUGGUAAGGUAACGGCUUACCAAGGCAACGAUGCAUAGCCGACCUGAGAGGGUGAUCGGCCACACUGGAACUGAGACACGGUCCAGACUCCUACGGGAGGCAGCAGUAGGGAAUCUUCCGCAAUGGGCGAAAGCCUGACGGAGCAACGCCGCGUGAGUGAUGAAGGUCUUCGGAUCGUAAAACUCUGUUAUUAGGGAAGAACAUAUGUGUAAGUAACUGUGCACAUCUUGACGGUACCUAAUCAGAAAGCCACGGCUAACUACGUGCCAGCAGCCGCGGUAAUACGUAGGUGGCAAGCGUUAUCCGGAAUUAUUGGGCGUAAAGCGCGCGUAGGCGGUUUUUUAAGUCUGAUGUGAAAGCCCACGGCUCAACCGUGGAGGGUCAUUGGAAACUGGAAAACUUGAGUGCAGAAGAGGAAAGUGGAAUUCCAUGUGUAGCGGUGAAAUGCGCAGAGAUAUGGAGGAACACCAGUGGCGAAGGCGACUUUCUGGUCUGUAACUGACGCUGAUGUGCGAAAGCGUGGGGAUCAAACAGGAUUAGAUACCCUGGUAGUCCACGCCGUAAACGAUGAGUGCUAAGUGUUAGGGGGUUUCCGCCCCUUAGUGCUGCAGCUAACGCAUUAAGCACUCCGCCUGGGGAGUACGACCGCAAGGUUGAAACUCAAAGGAAUUGACGGGGACCCGCACAAGCGGUGGAGCAUGUGGUUUAAUUCGAAGCAACGCGAAGAACCUUACCAAAUCUUGACAUCCUUUGACAACUCUAGAGAUAGAGCUUUCCCCUUCGGGGGACAAAGUGACAGGUGGUGCAUGGUUGUCGUCAGCUCGUGUCGUGAGAUGUUGGGUUAAGUCCCGCAACGAGCGCAACCCUUAAGCUUAGUUGCCAUCAUUAAGUUGGGCACUCUAAGUUGACUGCCGGUGACAAACCGGAGGAAGGUGGGGAUGACGUCAAAUCAUCAUGCCCCUUAUGAUUUGGGCUACACACGUGCAACAAUGGACAAUACAAAGGGCAGCGAAACCGCGAGGUCAAGCAAAUCCCAUAAAGUUGUUCUCAGUUCGGAUUGUAGUCUGCAACUCGACUACAUGAAGCUGGAAUCGCUAGUAAUCGUAGAUCAGCAUGCUACGGUGAAUACGUUCCCGGGUCU
rnacentral:rRNA from 1 species